UACGAAGGGUGCAAGCGUUACUCGGAAUUACUGGGCGUAAAGCGCACGUAGGCGGACUCUUAAGUCGGUGGUGAAAUCCUGGAGCUCAACUCCAGAACUGCCUUCGAUACUGAGAGUCUCGAGUCCGGGAGAGGUGAGUGGAACUGCGAGUGUAGAGGUGAAAUUCGUAGAUAUUCGCAAGAACACCAGUGGCGAAGGCGGCUCACUGGCCCGGUACUGACGCUGAGGUGCGAAAGCGUGGGGAGCAAACAGG
rnacentral:rRNA from 1 species